rnacentral:rRNA from 1 species
GUCGAACGGUGAACCGGGCUUCGGCCUGGGGAUCAGUGGCGAACGGGUGCGUAACACGUGGGCAACCUGCCUCAGACACUGGGAUAACCCCGGGAAACCGGGGCUAAUACCGGAUACUCCGACCGGACUGCAUGGUCCGGCCGGGAAAGCUCCGACGGUCUGAGAUGGGCCCGCGGCCUAUCAGCUUGUUGGCGGGGUAACGGCCCACCAAGGCGACGACGGGUAGCUGGUCUGAGAGGACGACCAGCCACACUGGAACUGAGACACGGUCCAGACUCCUACGGGAGGCAGCAGUGGGGAAUCUUGCGCAAUGGGCGAAAGCCUGACGCAGCGACGCCGCGUGGGGGAUGAAGGCCCUCGGUUUGUAAACCCCUUUCGGCAGGGACGAAGCGAACGUGACGGUACCUGCAGAAGAAGUCCCGGCUAACUACGUGCCAGCAGCCGCGGUAAGACGUAGGGGACGAGCGUUGUCCGGAUUCAUUGGGCGUAAAGAGCGCGUAGGCGGCUACGCAAGUCGGAUGUGAAAAUCCGGGGCUCAACCCCGGACCUGCAUCCGAUACUGCGUGGCUAGAGGUAGGUAGGGGAGAUCGGAAUUCCUGGUGUAGCGGUGAAAUGCGCAGAUAUCAGGAGGAACACCGGUGGCGAAGGCGGAUCUCUGGGCCUUACCUGACGCUCAGGCGCGAAAGCUAGGGGAGCGAACAGGAUUAGAUACCCUGGUAGUCCUAGCCGUAAACGUUGGGUGCUAGGUGUGGGUGGACAUCGACCCCAUCCGUGCCGAAGCUAACGCAUUAAGCACCCCGCCUGGGGAGUACGGCCGCAAGGCUAAAACUCAAAGGAAUUGACGGGGGCCCGCACAAGCGGCGGAGCAUGUGGCUUAAUUCGAUGUGACGCGAAGAACCUUACCUGGGCUUGACAUGCGGGGUGGAACCGUGAAACACGGCGCUCUUCGGAGCCCGCACAGGUGGUGCAUGGCUGUC